GAAAUAACACCUUCAUUUGGACAGUCUAAACACUCUGUAUCUCAAAAAAAGUAUCAUAUUGGAUCUCAGGAGAGAAGAAAUACUGGAUCUUUUUUCCCAAGACGUAUGAG
rnacentral:lncRNA from 1 species